rnacentral:lncRNA from 1 species
AAAAAAAUUGGGUUCAAUUUUUCUCAUUUGAAAUUUCAUAAAUAAAAAAGAAAAUUUCUUCAAACAUUUUUUUGAGAGGAUUAAUAUUCAACAGCAUAGUGAAUUGCUCUAAGAGAAAACAAAAAUUUUAAGUUCAUUAGAACACAUUCAUUCUGUGUCAGAAACCAAUGCUGUGUCAACUAUUUAAUCACAAUCCAAAUUUAGAGCUGAAUCCAGCUUGAAUGUUGUGUCCAUACUUGCCCCAACUGUUCAGGGUUCAACCUCUGCGGUCGUAUAAAGCUACGCCCUGCGGAGCAUCUGGUUUUAUAUUAAACUUAUUU